rnacentral:lncRNA from 1 species
UCAUAUUAUGAUCCAUUUGGUGGAAAAAGUAGCAUCCCAAACUCUUUAGAAUACCCCAUAAUAAUGAGUUCUAUAGACCAAUGCCUCUAACUUGUCUACCAUAUCAUAUCUCAUAUGGUAUGGUAGGAAUAAAUUUAGAAAAAAUUAAUUUAAAUUUUAAAAAUUAAAGUUUGUCUCUAAAAAAAUAAAGAUUAAAUCAGUGAAGUUCAUAAU